CCUACGGGUGGCAGCAGUGGGGAAUAUUGGGCAAUGGAGGAAACUCUGACCCAGCAACGCCGCGUGAAUGAUGAAGGUCUUCGGAUUGUAAAGUUCUUUUCUAAGGGAAGAAGAAAGUGACGGUACCUUAGGAAUAAGCCUCGGCUAACUACGUGCCAGCAGCCGCGGUAAUACGUAGGAGGCGAGCGUUAUCCGGAUUUAUUGGGUUUAAAGGGAGCGUAGGCCGCAUGUCAAGCGUGCUGUGAAAUGUCCGGGCUCAACCCGGGCCUUGCAGCGCGAACUGGCGUGCUUGAGUCCGCGGAAAGCAGGCGGAAUUCGUCGUGUAGCGGUGAAAUGCUUAGAUAUGACGAAGAACCCCGAUUGCGAAGGCAGCUUGCUGCAGCGGAACUGACGCUGAUGCUCGAAAGCGCGGGUAUCGAACAGGAUUAGAUACCCGGGUAGUC
rnacentral:rRNA from 1 species